rnacentral:rRNA from 1 species
UGGUGCCAGCAGCCGCGGUAAUACAGAGAGUGCGAGCGGUAAUCGGAAUCACUGGGCGUAAAGCGCGCGUAGGUUGAUAUUUAAGUCGGAUGUGAAAGCCCUGGGCUUAACCUAGGAAUUGCAUCCGAUACUGGAUGUCUCGAGUAUAGUAGAGGGAAGUGGAAUUUCCGGUGUAGCGGUGAAACGCAUAGAUAUCGGAAAGAACACCAGUGGCGAAGGCGGCUUCCUGGACUAAUACUGACACUGAGGUGCGAAAGCGUGGGGAGCAAGCAGGAUUAGAUACCCUGGUAGUCCCA